rnacentral:rRNA from 1 species
AUGGGGUGACUGCGUACCUUUUGUAUAAUGGGUCAGCGACUUAUAUUCUGUAGCGAGGUUAACCGUAUAGGGGAGCCGUAGGGAAACCGAGUCUUAACUGGGCGAAUGAGUUGCAGGGUAUAGACCCGAAACCCGGUGAUCUAUCCAUGGGCAGGUUGAAGGUUGGGUAACACUAACUGGAGGACCGAACCGACUAAUGUUGAAAAAUUAGCGGAUGACUUGUGGAUGGGGGUGAAAGGCCAAUCAAACCGGGAGAUAGCUGGUUCUCCCCGAAAGCUAUUUAGGUAGCGCCUCGUGAAUUCAUCUUCGGGGGUAGAGCACUGUUUCGACUAGGGGGUCAUCCCGACUUACCAACUCGAUGCAAACUGCGAAUACCGAAGAAUGUUAUCACGGGAGACACACGGCGGGUGCUAACGUCCGUCGUGAAGAGGGAAACAACCCAGACCGCCAGCUAAGGUCCCAAAGUCAUGGUUAAGUGGGAAACGAAGUGGGAAGGCUCAGACAGCCAGGAUGUUGGCUUAGAAGCAGCCAUCAUUUAAAGAAAGCGUAAUAGCUCACUGGUCGAGUCGGCCCGCGCGGAAGAUGUAACGGGGCUAAACCAUGCACCGAAGCUGCGGCAGCGA